rnacentral:rRNA from 1 species
AGAGUUUGAUCCUGGCUCAGGAUGAACGCUAGCGAUAGGCUUAACACAUGCAAGUCGAGGGGUAACGUGUUGGAAGCUUGCUUCCGAUGACGACGACCGGCGGAUGGGUGCGUAACGCGUAUGCAACUUGCCUCACAGUGGAGAAUAACCCGGAGAAAUCCGGACUAAUGUUCCAUACACUCUUAAGUACGCCUGUACAUGAGAGGAAAGAUUUAUCGCUGUGAGAUAGGCAUGCGUCCUAUUAGGUAGUUGGUGAGGUAACGGCUCACCAAGCCGACGAUAGGUAGGGGUGCUGAGAGGCAGAUCCCCCACAUUGGGACUGAGACACGGCCCAAACUCCUACGGGAGGCAGCAGUGAGGAAUAUUGGUCAAUGGAGGAAACUCUGAACCAGCCAAGUCGCGUGAAGGAAGAAUGUCCUAAGGAUUGUAAACUUCUUUAGCGAGCGAGUAAGGACUUCCACGUGAUGGGAGUUUGAAAGUAGCUCGAGAAUAAGUAUCGGCUAACUCCGUGCCAGCAGCCGCGGUAAUACGGAGGAUACGAGCGUUAUCCGGAUUUAUUGGGUUUAAAGGGUGCGCAGGUGGUCUUGCAAGUCAGUGGUGAAAAGCUGAGGCUCAACCUCAGCCUUGCCGUUGAAACUGUAAGACUUGAGAGUACAUGAUGUGGGCGGAAUGCGUAGUGUAGCGGUGAAAUGCAUAGAUAUUACGCAGAACUCCGAUUGCGAAGGCGGCUCACAAAGGUAUGUCUGACACUGAGGCACGAAAGCGUGGGGAGCGAACAGGAUUAGAUACCUGGUAGUCCACGCCGUAAACGAUGAUUACUCGAAGUAUGCGAUAUGACAGUAUGCUUCCAAGCGAAAGUGAUAAGUAAUCCACCUGGGGAGUACGCCGGCAACGGUGAAACUCAAAGGAAUUGACGGGGGCCCGCACAAGCGGAGGAACAUGUGGUUUAAUUCGAUGAUACGCGAGGAACCUUACCCGGGAUUGAAAUGUAUGUGAGCCUCUUGGGAAACCGAGAGGGUUCUCUUCGGAGACACAUAUGUAGGUGCUGCAUGGUUGUCGUCAGCUCGUGCCGUGAGGUGUCGGCUUAAGUGCCAUAACGAGCGCAACCCUUAUCGUCAGUUACUAACAGGUUAUGCUGAGGACUCUGGCGAGACUGCGUCGUAAGGCGAGAGGAAGGUGGGGAUGACGUCAAAUCAGCACGGCCCUUACAUCCGGGGCGACACACGUGUUACAAUGGUAGGGACAGAGAGUAGCCACUCGGUGACGAGGAGCGGAUCUUGAAACCCUAUCUCAGUUCGGAUCGGAGUCUGCAACUCG